GUGUUCUGGGCUGCAGUGCGCUAUGCCGAGCGGGCGUCCGCGCUAAGGCCGGCAUCGAUAUGGUGGUCCUCGGGGAGCCGCGGGCCACCAGGUCGCUUAAGGAGGGGUGAACCGGCCCAGGUCGGAGACGGAGCAGGUCAAAGCUCCCGUGCCGGUCAGUAGCGGGAUGGCGCCUGUGAACAGUCCCUGUAGCACAGC
rnacentral:SRP_RNA from 1 species